AUUGAACGCUGGCGGCAUGCCUUACACAUGCAAGUCGAACGGUAACAGGUCUUCGGAUGCUGACGAGUGGCGAACGGGUGAGUAAUACAUCGGAACGUGCCUAGUAGUGGGGGAUAACUACUCGAAAGAGUGGCUAAUACCGCAUGAGAUCUACGGAUGAAAGCAGGGGAUCGCAAGACCUUGUGCUACUAGAGCGGCCGAUGGCAGAUUAGGUAGUUGGUGGGAUAAAAGCUUACCAAGCCGACGAUCUGUAGCUGGUCUGAGAGGACGAUCAGCCACACUGGAACGGCGAAACGGCCCAGACUCCUACGGGAGGCAGCAGUGGGGAAUUUUGGACAAUGGGCGCAAGCCUGAUCCAGCAAUGCCGCGUGCAGGAUGAAGGCCUUCGGGUUGUAAACUGCUUUUGUACGGAACGAAAAGCCCCGGGUUAAUACCCUGGGGUCAUGACGGUACCGUAAGAAUAAGCACCGGCUAACUACGUGCCAGCCGCCGCGGUAA
rnacentral:rRNA from 1 species